UGUAUCAAUAGACAAGAUAAAUUACUAUAAGCAUAUUAUUAUAUAAGGGAUACAAUAGAGAUAAGAUACAAAAUUAUAGUAAGAUAUUAACAACUUAAUUACAAACGCAGAACUCCCCGAAAAAGAGUUAUUUAUAUAUUACAUGCAAUAUCCGCUGAAAAUAAGGUGAUAAACAUGGAUUACUUAGUGGUAAUGGUGAUAUCACUAUCAAUAGGGCAUUUGGUCUAGUGGUAUGAUUCUCGCUUUGGGUGCGAGAGGUCCCGAGUUCGAUUCUCGAAAUGCCCCAAAUUUUUAGAUUGUACAAGCCAAGGUUUUUAAAAUAGGCUAAGAGGUGAAAUCAAUAUGAUUAAAAUAUAAGGUUAAGCAAAUAGUAAUCUGCCUAGGGUGACAGCUUGCUUGAGCCUUGACUUUCACAAUAGGAGUUUCAUGUUCCAGAUCUAAAAUGAGCACCAACUAAACAAAGAGGAGUUCAAAGAUUAUUUAAUAGAUAAAGCAAAAACAGCAUACAAUAAUAUCUUUAGAUUACUAAAUCAUUAAAAUUAUAGAUCUCAAAGAAGAAAAAUCAAUAAAAAAAUGUGAAAGCUAUAUAUAAUAUACAUACUAAUAUGAAAUACAUGCUUGCAAUAAACAUGAACAGAUAAGUUAACCUCAAUUUGAAAACCUACUCACUAAAUUAAAAAUGAAGUGAUGUCAUUGACAACAGGGCAUUUGGUCUAGUGGUAUGAUUCUCGCUUUGGGUGCGAGAGGUCCCGAGUUCGAUUCUCGGAAUGCCCCAUUUUUAAUUUUGUUCCACUUCAUAUAAGAGAUCAUUUUCUUCUUUCUUUUUGAAACUUAAGAGAUUUAUUUUCUAUCAUCAUCAAUGCAGCAUAUAAAAACAUAAUAGUUUUGUGACUAGCAAUCUGCAGGGGACUCAGUACAGUGUAAAUGUGCAAGGCACAAACAAUAGAGCAAUCAAUUUUUUGUUUUACAUUACACACGUCCUUUCUUAGGGGACCUACAUCCUCUUUUGCAAUCGGUUUCGCUACAGAAAGAAUUUGAAAGAAUUUGUAUAGUGUGAACCGCACAGGGGUAACUGGAUCGUAAUCUGUCUAGCUUAACAAGCUUGCUUAAGCGUUGGUUUUCAAUAGGGAGAGCUUCAUUUUCAUAUUCUGGAUCUAAAGUAAAGCAGGAGUUUAAUUGUAUAUAUUGUAUGAAAUACAGCUAAAUAAACAUGAAUAAGGAACUUAAAGUCAAUUUGAAAAACUACACACUAAAAUAGUGAUGUUUUGUCAUUGGCAACUGGGCAUUUGGUCUAGUGGUAUGAUCAUCAUUUGGGUGCGAGAGGUCCCAAGUUUGAUUCUCGGAAUGCCCCAUUUUUAAUAUUUUGUUCCCUUCAUAUAAGAGAUCUAUUUCUUCAUUUUCUUUUUCCUUCUUUUGGAACAUCAAAGAUAUCUGUGUUCUAUCAUCAUAUCAAUUCAUCAUACAAACUAUAAUGGUUAUGUGACUGCCAAUCUGUAGGGGACUCCGUUGUGUGUAAAUGUCCAGGCCAAGAUUUUGUAUAGUGUGAAGUGUUCAGGGGUAACUGGAUCUUAAUCUCCCUAGGAUGACAGGUUUGCUUAAGCCUUGGUUUCCAAUAGGGAGAGUUUCAGGUUCUGGAUCUAAACUGAAGCAGGAGUUUCAUUGUAUAUAGUACAUGAGAUAUAGCUAACAAAUAAACAUGAAUAAAGAAGUCAAAGUCCAUUCAAAAAACCACACACCAAAAUAAUAGCGAUGUGAUGUCAUUGGCAACUGGGCAUUUGGUCUAGUGGUAUGAUUCUCGCUUUGGGUGCGAGAGGUGCCGAGUUCGAUUCUCGGAAUGCCCCAUUUUUAAUAUUUUGUUCCCUUCAUAUAAGAGAUCUAUUUCUUCAUUUUCUUUUUCCUUGUUUUGGAACUUCAAAGAUAUCUAUAUUCUAUCAUCAUAUAAAUUCAUCAUACAAACUAUAAUUGUUUUGUGACGGGCAAUCUGUAGGGGACUCUCUUCUGUGUAAAUGUGCAGGCCAAGAUUUUGUGUAGUGUGAAUUGUUCAGGGAUAACUGGAUCAUAAUCUGCCUAGGUUGACAAGCUUGCUUAAGCCUUGGUUUCCAAUAGGAAGAGUUUCAGCUUCUGGAUCUAAACUGAAGCAGGAGUUUCAUUGUAUAUACUAUAUGACAUACAGCUAACAAAUAAACAUGAAUAAAGAAUUCAAACUCAAUUUGAAAACUACACACUAAAAUAAUAGCGGUGUGAUGCAAUUGGCAACUGGGCAUUUGGUCUAGUGGUAUGAUUCUCGCUUUGGGUGCGAGAGGUCCCGAGUUCGAUUCUCGGAAUGCCCCAUUUUUAAUAUUUUGCUCCCUUCAUAUUAGAGAUCUAUUUCUUCUCUUUUCCUCUUUCUUCUCUUUGAAACUUAAAAAGAGAUAUUUGUUCUAUCAUCGUAUCAAUUCAUCAUACAAAAACAUAAUGGUUUUAUGACUGGAAUUGUGCAGGGGACUCUGUCCAGUGUAAAUGUGCAAGCCAAGAUUUUGUAUAGUGUGAAAGCAUUCAGGGGUAACUGGAUUAUAAUCGGCCUAGGUUGACUAGCUUACUUAAGCCUUGGCUUUAAAUAGGGAGAGUUUCAUGUUCUGGAUCUAAAGUGAAGCAGGAGUUUCAUUGCAUAUAGUAUGUGAAAUACAGCUAACAAAUAAACAUGAAUAAAGAAGUCAAAGUCAAUUUGAAAAACUGCACACUAAAAUAAUAGUGAUGUGAUACCACUGACAACUGGGCAUUUGGUCUAGUGGUAUGAUUCUCGCUUUGGGUGCGAGAGGUCCCGAGUUCGAUUCUCGGAAUGCCCCCAUUUUUCAAAAUUUUCUUCCCUUUGUAAAAAAAAUAAUUUUUUAUUCAAGACUAAUAAUAUUAAGUGUUAACUUCUACUAGGAGUUGUUUCAUGUUCAGAUCUAAAAAUGAAGAAGGGAAAGGAUGGCCUGUAAAAGGGGAAAGAUGGCAUCUCUCAAAAAUCCCAAUCAUUGACACAGUCCUUCUUUCCAUAUAGGUCGUGAACCAAAGAAUAUAAGUAAUUUGCAGAAAAACAGACUAUUUAAUCUCACAGAUAAGAAGAAAAGCAUCUUGUAUUUUAUAUUAGAAACCAUCCAAAUUUCACGGGCUUAUAGUUUAUAGCUUUUAUGUUCAGAUACAAAAAGUAAUCUCUUGUAUCAACUGCAAUAGAUAGAAGAUUUAACCAGAGAAUGGAGGAAGCAAAACAAACAGCACUGUAUAAUGUAUUAUAAAACUUCGUUGUACUUUUGCAUGAGAUAUUCUUUUUCUCAUUCCCUCAAAUAGAAAUCCUUAAAACUAUUACUUGUUCCCAAGGAUGAUCAAACGCAGGAAGGAAUAAAUAAAGUUAAUCAUCUACCCUUUUCUUAAUACAUUGUCCCUUCUUCCUAAAGAUGUUCAAUGUGUCACAUGGAUGAAUAAGUAGAUCAUGAUUAAUAAGAUAUAAGUUUUCCAACUGCCAGAAGAAACUAUGAAUAGUACUUGCAUGAAUUUUGAAAGGGCCGGGGAUAAUAAAUU